rnacentral:rRNA from 4 species
ACGUUACCCGCAGAAGAAGCACCGGCUAACUCCGUGCCAGCAGCCGCGGUAAUACGGAGGGUGCAAGCGUUAAUCGGAAUUACUGGGCGUAAAGCGCACGCAGGCGGUCUGUCAAGUCGGAUGUGAAAUCCCCGGGCUCAACCUGGGAACUGCAUUCGAAACUGGCAGGCUUGAGUCUUGUAGAGGGGGGUAGAAUUCCAGGUGUAGCGGUGAAAUGCGUAGAGAUCUGGAGGAAUACCGGUGGCGAAGGCGGCCCCCUGGACAAAGACUGACGCUCAGGUGCGAAAGCGUGGG